CACGUAGGCACCAAGCGUUUGUCCGGAUUUAUUGGGCGUAAAGAGUGCGUAGGCGGUUUUCUAAGUUUGGUGUGAAAUCUCCCGGCUUAACUGGGAGGGUGCGCCGAAGACUGGAAGGCUUGAGUAUGGGAGAGGUAAGCGGAAUUCCUGGUGUAGCGGUGAAAUGCGUAGAUAUCAGGAGGAACACCUGCGGUGUAGACGGCUUACUGGACCAUCACUGACGCUGAGGCACGAAAGCGUUGGGUAGCAAACAGG
rnacentral:rRNA from 1 species